rnacentral:lncRNA from 1 species
AGAGUGGGCGGGGCCUGAGUAACUGCCAAUUUCAAUUUUUCGAUCAGACUGGAGCUACCUUGGGAUGUAAUUUUUCGGUUCUGCGCUCCUAGAGGGUUUCAAUGCUUUUCGGUUUUCUUAUCACGUGAGGCGUCGUGAGCCCCUUCUUCGAGAUGAAAACUAGACUGUCCUGGAAAAGCGCACCUAGCGUCCGCACACAAUUCCUAAGUGUCGACACAUGUUUUAGCCGAACUCCUUCCCGUAGGAACUCAAGGGUCUCCGGGUUAUGAGCCUCAACUCUACCUACCCUGCUCUGCCCCAAUCGGGCCAGCUGCUACCACGCCUCAGAGUGUAACCAAAACAAAAGCUCUGAGGUCGGCGCCCCACGGAGGCAUCUCCCAAGCACAGGCGCACCCCCCAACCUGGGCUCUGCCAAACAAAGACCAAACUCGACCCCGGGACCCGGCCUGCAGAAUGAUCGGGGAGCAACGCGUGUCUGGGUCAUUCUCAGAUUCUACCACGGCUACUGGUCACUUCCAAAGAAGAGUUCAAGCAGACUGUGAUGCGGUUUCAGAUGAGAUGCUUCCUGAACGUUCUCGGACGAGAAGGAGAGGCACGGGAAAUAAAAAGGCUGCACUAAUUUCCUGUGGGCACUCGGAACUCAAAGUAAACGUCCCAGAAAGGUCACCGCAGUCCGAAGCCCACUGCCCCCAGUCAGGCUAAGGAGAGCGCGGGACAGGGGCGCCGGGCACCGCGAAGGCUCCUGGGGACUGAAGUCCCUCAUUCAGCCUUCACAGUAAUGUUGCGGGACUGGACCAGACAGCGGGACUACAACUCCCAGUAGGAAGUGCGCCUCCGUGUUGCUUACAGCCCCUCAUCAAAAGAACUGGUCCAAAACUGCACCUCUAAACCCAGGCUUUCUCUUUACACCAAGCAACUGUUUAAUAUGACAUACUGAAGUAAACUUUGGAAUUUAGGGGUAGGGAUCAUCGUACCUUCUCCCGGAGCCAGAGCCCCGUCGACUCGCGCCACCGCCAUACUUGCCGCUUGCUAAUGACACCAGGCAACCGUCUUCUGCCGUUCUGUAGAGCAUGUAGUCAGCAGUGGGGCGCUGCAAACUACAACUCCCAGGAUGCACAGCACUCACUCGACCCAAUUGGCUCCCUGAUGGGACUUGCUGGCUACAAUGUGGGAGGUAAAGCUUAGAAGACCCGGGUUGACACCUAAAGUUGAUCUGCCGAAGAUACCAAUGCUUGGGUCGUAUUUGAUGCCUACGUCAAUGUGUUCCUGAAUCCAAAACCAAAGUUUCCAGUAUCUGAGAAGUUAUUUUUUCGUAACUCAUAUUCCCACACCUUCAGGCCUUUCUCCAGCAUUUCCUCUGCCUUGGCUCCACGGACUGUGCAGUGAACAGCAAUCUUCUCAUUUCUCCGGAUGCCAAAGGACCUGACAGUGUAUCUAGCUUUGGAAAACACCAGGGUCUGGCCUGUGAGCUGCUCCAACACCAUGGCUGCCCGGGUCAGUCUGCCUCCGCUCUCCCCGACACAGAUAUUG